ensembl:lncRNA
UGAAGGAGGAGGGAGAGGAACACAUGGUACAGCUAACAGUAGUGAAGGAGAAGGGAGAGGAACACGUGACACAGCUAACAGUAGUGAAGGAGGAGGGAGAGGAACACAUGGCACAGCUAACAGUAGUGAAGGAGGAGGGAGAGGAACACAUGGUACAGCUAACAGUAGUGAAGGAGGAGGGAGAGGAACACAUGGUACAGCUAACAGUAGUGAAGGAGGAGGGAGAGGAACACAUGGUACAGCUAACAGUAGUGAAGGAGGAGAGAGAGGAACACAUGGUACAGCUAACAGCAGAAUUUAGAACCUCAUCCCCUGUUCCCCUCCUCUCCUGUGUUAACUAAGGAGGUGAGAUCCUAAUCUAUGUCCAUCUGAGCAGACAGCCAUCUAGCCAAUCAGAGCUCAGAGAUCUGUGGGGCGGAUCAGGCUGACUUCUAAAGUUCAUUAGGUCAAAUGUCAUCACUAGGAGAAAGUGGUGAAGCAGUAGAAGGAUGGAGGGAGAGGAGGGAGAAGAGACGAAGACUCACUUUAGGUAGGAGAGUUCUCUGAUCAGGCCACAGACCAGUUCUGUAGCGUCUUCAUGCCCUUCCUCUUUCUCCUCUUCCUCUUUCUCACUAGUUAAGGGGAAGAGAGAGACAGAGAAUGGCACCAUUCCCUAUAUAAUGCACUACUUUCGACGAGGGCCAUAUGUGCACUAUAUGGGGAAUAAGGGGGCAUCGUAGGCUUCAAAACAAGCCAAUACAAAGUUAUAAAAUAGUGUACUGGUUCUAGGAAGAUGGAUAAAUGUAUCUGACCAGUAGUGUUACUGAAACCAGAUGAAAUAUCUAGAUCAGUGGUUAUCGUUGGGUACUGCAGGUGGUAUAUCUAGAUCAGUGGUUGUCAUUGGGUACUGCAGGUGGUAUAUCUAGAUCAGUGGUUGUCAUUGGGUACUGCAGGUGGUAUAUCU